rnacentral:lncRNA from 1 species
GUAACAAUUGAAGGCAUGCAUAAGCUUGUCCACGGAUAACAACACUGUAGGAACGGCCUCUUGGACGUUCCUGAGAUCCAUCCGUCUUUUCAAGUACCCUACUAUACCUGCUCGUUCUACCUGCCUUCUGAAGAAGAGACCAACACCCAACAGUGGAACCCGAGUCCAAAGCCAAAAAGGCACACAGGUUAUGCAAGCUAACAUUCUAUUUCCUAAUGCUUCCCAAUCCCAUAUAGCUUGUUUUCCAAUCCCUGUGUUGU